rnacentral:lncRNA from 1 species
AGUUUGAUCUCAGACUGCUGUGCUAGCAAUCAGCGAGACUCCGUGGGCGUAGGACCCUCCGAGCCAGGUGUGGGAUAUAAUCUUGUGGUGCGCCGUUUUUUAAGCCCAUCAGAAAAGCGCAGUAUUCGGGUGGGAGUGACCCGAUUUUCCAGUGAGAUGAACUCGGUACCUCAGAUGGAAAUGCAGAAAUCACCCGUCUUCUGCGUCACUCACGCUGGGAGCUGUAGA